rnacentral:rRNA from 1 species
UACAGGGGGUGCAAACGUUGCGCGGAAUCAUUGGGCGUAAAGCGCACGUAGGCGGUCUGUUAUGUCGGAUGUGAAAGCCCUUGGCUCAACUGAGGAAGUGCAUCCGAAACUGGCAGGCUAGAGUACUAAAGAGGAUCGCGGAAUUCCCGGUGUAGAGGUGAAAUUCGUAGAUAUCGGGAGGAACACCGGUGGCGAAGGCGGCGAUCUGGGUAGAUACUGACGCUGAGGUGCGAAAGCGUGGGGAGCAAACAGG